AUGAACCUCACGCUUAUCCCUUCUUCAUCUAUCAUUUCUGUGGAGGACACGGGGCCAGUGGACAAGUACAGUGUGGGAUUUCAUGUGACUGGCCUGACAGUGGGCGUGGUCAGUCUCCGCCUCUCAGCAGUGGAUGGACAUGGGUCUGUUAUAAGCUCCUCUCACAAGAAUAUGCAAGUUUACCCUCCAUUCAGUUUGCAGCCCUGUAAACUUACUCUGUCAGUUGGAAGCUUGCCACAGGUUGGCAUGAUAAGACAUACCAAACCAUACAUUGGUUUCCAUAGAAACACUUUUUUUUAUUAUAAACAUAUAUUUGUUGUUCAGGUGAAACGGGAGGGAUUCAUCCUCAGUAUGUUGUCAGGUUCUCUGUGAGUGACAGCGCUGUCACCAUGGUAACUGAGACAGGACGGGUCAGAGGUGUGGCAGUGGGUGUGGUCAAACUCAGAGGAGCUCUUCAGACACAAGAUACAGAAGCAUUGAUUACCUUUUUACAGGUAGCCCACAUUGCUUACCUUUGCUAAACAUGGCUUUCCAUAGUUUUUUUUUUAAGUUUUUUAUUUUUACUUUUUAAAGCCAUUUGUAAUUAAUGUCCUGCCUUGUGGAGCCAUACAGCCCAUACAAAAUAUUGUUAUUUACUGACGAUCAUAUAGCAGUAGACAUAGGGACUGUUCACACUGCACAUUAUUGCAUUUCACUUAGUCCACGCAUGGCACAGCAUUUUAAAAACAUGGUGCUCAAGGUAAAGUUCAGCUUUUAAAAAAUGAGUCUCUAGUUCACAUUCAUGCAGAAUAUGCUUUUGCUUUAAAAUGGCAAUGUUUAGGGAAGCAGAUUUAAAAAAAAAAAUGGUCUAGAGACACAUAUUUUAAAAGAUCAGCUUUAUUUUAACUUGAGCUCCAUGUUUUUAGAACAGUUUGUCAUGCAAAAGAUGCAAACACAGUCAAAAAGUUCAUGUUUACAUACAAGAACAACAGAAAAGGUCUUCUUACGACUUUUAAAAAACACAUUUUACAUGUUUUUGUCAUUUCAACACAAAAACACAUUUUGUGUGAAAUGCCUCCUACUUAGAUACUGACGAACGAAAAAUGUAUGCUUGAUGUGAUUUUCCAUUGCCGUGACACCCAACAUGAAUAAUAAAUGACUACUUACCCAAUGCAGCAAAUCCAACCUUUCAUACCUUAUUCCUUAUUCAUCCCUUAUACGUUGUCACCAUUACCAUCACAAUAUCUGUGCUCAUACACACAACAUGCUUACAUACACUGCUCUUAUUUUAAACUAUAAUAAUGAUCUCCCUAAAAAUAAAAAGACGAAAUUUGAUAUUUCUAAAAGAUAAAAUGCUAUGCCUUAACUUAAUAACUGUAUGUGUGCUGUGAUCAGGAUGAAGUGGAGGUGGAGGUGUUCAACCUGACAGCAGUGAGGAUACAGGCUCCUUUAGUCACUCUAUGAACACCGUAUGAACAGAGGUUUGUCCUUCUCAUGCUCAUUUUUGUUGUGUGCAGCCAUGUUUUUGCUGUCAGGAAAUGUUUGGUGGAGUCUUUCAUUUUAGAUGCCGGUUUAUGUGAUGGGGAGUUUCAGUGGUCAGAACCCUUUAUCUCUGGGUAGUGUUGACUCUGGCCUCAGUUUCCACUGGCGUCUACACAAAGCAGGUGUGCUGGAGAUCGAACCAAGGCAUGCAAAGGUGACAUGCACACACAAAGCAUGAAUUGAUAUGUUUGAUUACUUUUUUAGGUGGGUGAUAGUGUGUCUCCCUCUCACAGUUUCUCUGCGCUGGUGAGGGCCAGAGCUCCAGGGAGGACCAGCCUCAAAGUGUGUGUGCAGCUCCAACAGAUAGACACCAGCAACACAUCACUCUCUGAUCUCACUGAUGAGAUACAGAUACUGGUAAAUACAUCCUCCACAAAGAACCACCAAGGGGAGUCAUGUCAUGCGGAAGCAGAUUUGCCUUGACCUUCUGAGAUAAAAGUGUUAACUAUACUAUAAAAUCAUACUGUGGAGGCUUUUUUUGUUAUUGUUUACAAUCAGAUAUAAUUAAAUAAAGUUAAUACUAGUAGUGUAGACCACUCAGUCUUAUAAUACGUAAUUCAUCACAUAUUAUUUUAGUCAAACGGAAUAGGGCAUGUUCAACAAGGCCAAUUAGCAAAACAGAAUAUCUGGAAGUUUAUAGUAGAAGAAUAGUAUUUAAUCAAAAAAAUAAAAUGGUCAAAAAACAUUUUAAAAUGUACACUACCAUUCAAAAGUUUGGGGUUGGCAAGAAUGUUUAAUGCAAAAAUGCAGUAAAAAUAAUAUUGUGAAAUAUUAUUACAAUUUAAACUUUUUAUCUAUUUUAAUAUAUUUUCAAAUGUAUUAAGCCUGUGAUGAAUUUUCAGCAGCCAUUACUCACAUGAUCUUUCAGAAAUCAUUUUAAUAUGCUGAUUCAGUGCUCAAGUAACAUUUCUUAUUAUUAUCAUUGCUGAAAAUGGUUGUCAACUGGGAUGCAUUUUUUUCAGGAUUGCUUAAUGAAUACAAAGUUCAAAAGAACAGAAAUUGAGUCAAAUAUAUUUUUUUGUUAUAUUAAAUUAUUUACUGCCACUUUCAAUCAAUUUAAUGUGCCUUUGCUAAAUAAAAAUAUACAUUUUGUUUAAAAAAUAAAUCCUAUUGACCCCAUACUUCUGAACAAUAGUGUCUAAAUACAAAUUAAUACUACCUACUAAUAAAAAUAUUUACUUUCAUAUUAUACUAAAACAUUUCAACUAAUGUGAAAUACAUUUUCGACAUAUACUAAAGCUUUUUUAGAAUGUGCAGUUCACUCUAAAUGUAUCUCUUCUUUCUUGUUCCCCCUCUUUUCUCAGGUGUUUGAAGAGAUGCAGUUAACAGCAGGAAGCCCAGGAUCCAUCCUCAUGUCUUCCCUCUCUCAGUACCCCCUGCAGAGCAAUAAGUGAGUUAGUAUGCCUGUUUCAUGUCAGAAAAUGUCUCUUUUUUUCAGUAUCCACUCCAUUAAGUCUGUUCCACAUCACUGCAGUUCUCAUGAUGAUUUGGACGAAUAAUGUGCCUGAUCAAAAGUACAUUUACAUAUUUUUUUCUCAGUUUUACUGAAGUAUUGCAUGAAGUUGGUUUCAUGUAAUCUUAAGACAGAACAUCCAUAGACUAUUUGCUGUUUAGCCAAAGGUCUGUUCAUGCGUGACUAGAUAACAUCAUAGUUUUUUUUUAAAUGUGUGUUUCAGAGACUGUCCGGUCCAUUUCAUCCUUAGCCGCUGUGUCUCAGGGGCAGGACUGGUUACGGUUGAUGAUCAAGGAGUGUUGAAGAAAGGCCUUGCUAUUUUGGAGGUUUAUGCCAUGGACAUUUGUGGUAUCAACCAAACACUGCUGAUCAGUGUGGAGGUGAGUGUUUAUUUUGAGAAAUACUGUAGGUUACCCUCAUUUUAGAUCCUAAUGUCAACAUCCUUUUUGCCUUAGGUGUCAACAGUGUGGUUUGUAUGUGUUUUCACUGUGUCAUCCGUGAACAGUGACAGUGAAAGAGCUCUUCCUGCCUUCCCUCUGGACUGGAGCAUCCGUAUCAGGGCUCUAUACUAUGAUAUACAAACACUGGUCACAGCUAACAGGUAAUAACACAGAUAUAUGUUUAUGUUUAUGUUACUCGUGGUUGUGGUCUAAACUUAUUUUUUCUGUCUCAGAGAUGACCUUCCCUUACGGAAAAGACGUUUAUUCAAAUGUGCUAUUAGUAUACUUAUUUUAAACUAAAAAAUAGGAAAGUAUACUUUGUCUACUUUUUAUGUACUUCUCAGAAAUGUGCUUUAUGCACUUCUCAUAAAUAUACUUAAAAUGACAUUUAAGUAUACUUGACUUUCACUUAGAAAAAAUUUAAAUAUAUUUGAGCUAUGCUUGUGCUCCAGGAACU
ensembl:lncRNA